rnacentral:rRNA from 1 species
AUACAGAGGGUGCGAGCGUUAAUCGGAAUUACUGGGCGUAAAGCGCGCGUAGGCGGCUACUUAAGUCAGAUGUGAAAUCCCCGGGCUCAACCUGGGAACUGCAUCUGAUACUGGGUAGCUAGAGUUUUGGAGAGGGGAGUAGAAUUUCAGGUGUAGCGGUGAAAUGCAUAGAGAUCUGAAGGAAUACCAGUGGCGAAGGCGACUUCCUGGCCAAAAACUGACGCUGAGGUGCGAAAGCGUGGGUAGCAAACGGGAUUAGAAACCCGAGUAGUCC